AUUGAACGCUGGCGGCAUGUCUUACACAUGCAAGCCGAACGGUAACAGGUCUUCGGAUGCUGACGAGUGGCGAACGGGUGAGUAAUACAUCGGAACGUGCCUAGUAGUGGGGGAUAACUACUCGAAAGAGUGGCUAAUACCGCAUGAGAUCUACGGAUGAAAGCAGGGGAUCGCAAGACCUUGUGCUACUAGAGCGGCCGAUGGCAGAUUAGGUAGUUGGUGGGAUAAAAGCUUACCAAGCCGACGAUCUGUAGCUGGUCUGAGAGGACGAUCAGCCACACUGGGACUGAGACACGGCCCAGACUCCUACGGGAGGCAGCAGUGGGGAAUUUUGGACAAUGGGCGAAAGCCUGAUCCAGCAAUGCCGCGUGCAGGAUGAAGGCCUUCGGGUUGUAAACUGCUUUUGUACGGAACGAAAAGCCCCGGGUUAAUACCCUGGGGUCAUGACGGUACCGUAAGAAUAAGCACCGGCUAACUACGUGCCAGCAGCCGCCGUAA
rnacentral:rRNA from 1 species